CCUACGGGUGGCAGCAGUAGGGAAUAUUGCUCAAUGGGGGAAACCCUGAAGCAGCAACGCCGCGUGGAGGAUGAAGGUUUUCGGAUUGUAAACUCCUUUUGUUAGAGAAGAUAAUGACGGUAUCUAACGAAUAAGCACCGGCUAACUCCGUGCCAGCAGCCGCGGUAAUACGAAGGGUGCAAGCGUUACUCGGAAUCACUGGGCGUAAAGAGCGCGUAGGCGGGAUAGCAAGUCAGAUGUGAAAUCCUAUGGCUUAACCAUAGAACUGCAUUGGAAACUGUUAUUCUAGAGUAUGGGAGAGGUGGGUGGAAUUCUUGGUGUAGGGGUAAAAUGCGUAGAGAUCAAGAGGAAUACUCAUUGCGAAGGCGACCUGCUAGAACAUAACUGACGCUGAUGCGCGAAAGCGUGGGGAGCAAACAGGAUUAGAUACCCUAGUAGUC
rnacentral:rRNA from 1 species